rnacentral:rRNA from 1 species
AGUGAACGCUGGCGGUAGGCCUAACACAUGCAAGUCGAACGGCAGCACAGUAAGAGCUUGCUCUUACGGGUGGCGAGUGGCGGACGGGUGAGGAAUACAUCGGAAUCUACUUUUUCUGGGGGAAUAACGGGGGAAAACUUCCGCUAAUACCGCAUACGACCAACGGGUGAAAGCAGGGGAGCUUGGGACUUUUGCUGUUUCAUUUAGCCGUUGCCGGAUUAGCUAGUUGGCGGGGUAAGGGCCCACCAAGGCGACGAUCCGUAGCUGGUCUGAGAGGAUGAUCAGCCACACUGGAACUGAGACACGGUCCAGACUCCUACGGGAGGCAGCAGUGGGGAAUAUUGGACAAUGGGCGCAAGCCUGAUCCAGCCAUACCGCGUGGGUGAAGAAGGCCUUCGGGUUGUAAAGCCCUUUUGUUGGGAAAGAAAAGCAGCAGGUUAAUACCCCGCUGUUCUGACGGUACCCAAAGAAUAAGCACCGGCUAACUUCGUG